GUCGUGCCUGAUGUUAGCCCAGAUGAGAGCCUGGCCCCUCCUCGGGCUGCCUGGGGUCUCCUGAGGAACCCAACCCCUAAGGCAGCUUGCCUGGUGACUGCCACACGGGAGAGUCCCAGCACUUCCAGUUGGGUAGGCCAUUGGGACGUACCAUUUAAAGGCACUGCGCCUAUUCCUCUCUUACUGUGAAAUCACGGGCCAACACUCCUUUCUGACCAAGCCAACGCACAACGGGAGAAAGACCAGGGACCUUCUUGAGAAGCUCUGUUCUCUCCGCCGGGCAGGCAAAGCCUGGUGGUGCCUGCUUGGAUGCCUGCCUGGGUGGUUGGGGUGCCCGGAGCUUGGAGUAUUCGUGGAAGAGAAGACUAUUUUAUCUGUUGAUCACCUAGGGCUGAAAAGAUUUUAUUUCUCUAGUAAAUGGGUGCUGCCCUCUGUCCUAGGGCAAUGCUGUUGGCGGGCACAGCGCAGCACGAUGAAGCCAACCCCACUCAGAGGAGCAGGUCCCAAGCUGCUGGCGCCGGCCCGAGGCUUCUAAUGUGAGGAAAAACACGCGGUGACAAGUGUGGAAAAGAGCAAGCACUAAAUUACUGUCAGAAAAAUAAACGGCGGAGCGCGGCGCGGGGCGGUGAUUUA
rnacentral:lncRNA from 1 species